AUGAGAGGGUCUGCACACUGCGCCCCCCACCCCCUGCAGUCUCUGGAGCUAGUCAGCAAAUCGCUGCAGAAGAUGGUCCUCCCGCCGCAAGCUGCCCCCCGUGCCGCCGCCGCUGUCCAUGAAGCGGUCGCAGGGGAACUCGAUGAGGUCGGCCUCGCUGAGCGCACACACGGUGGCGCGCGGCCGGUGCGACUGGAAGCCGGAGAAGUCGGCGGACACGCCGGUGCCCAUGGAGCGCAGCGGCCGUCGGGUGGAGUACAUGUGCCUAACGUGCACGGGCGCGCCCGCCUUGCGCCUCGCCCGCAGCUUCCUGCGCAGCCAGCGCGACGCCCAGGCCGCCAGCGCCAGGAGCACCAGCAGCGCGUUGACCGCCAGCAAGGCCAAGGUCAGCAGCUGGUAGUCCACGCUGCUCCGGGCCCCGGGCUCCGGCAGGGUGACCAGCCCGGCGCAGUGGUCGCGGGGCGCCACCGGGCAGACGCGGCCGCCGAGCACGCCCUCCACGCACACCAGAGGAGAGAAGACUAAGAAGCUACUGGCUUUCAAAUUGAACCACUGGAUGUACCUGGGAUGGAGCUGUGAGCCUGUAGUGUGAGGACACACAAAAAGCCAUCCGAGCAGAGAAGAGGUCGGCAGCUGAGAGAGGUGUAACAUGGAAGAGAGACAGCGGAGCAGAGAUCAGACCCAUCCCUUAGCAUCAGCCUCCCCUCCUCCUGAGCCUGCAGAAACCUUGCAGAGCGGGGACAGCAGGCAGCGUUCCAUAGGACCUCUGUAGUUGGCCCUAAUCAUAAGAUGCCGCUAUGUAAGAUUUACAAAGUCAUCAGGCCCCUGCCGAUGUUCGGUAUUUUUCAGCGUUUUUGACUGUCUUUGGUAGUAUUGCCCCGUGUUGAACAUUUCUACCAGUUGGUGCUGGAUUGCAGGUAGAAAUAACAUCAUAUGCGGUUUAUGUCAAAAGACAAUUGCUUUCCCAUAACAUUCCAUUUCCUUGAAGUAACCCAUCUGCCUCCUAUAGUUAACUUUGCUUAAAAUAGAUACAGUGUGCCAUACUUCAGAUGAGUAUAAAAAGCUUCCCAUGGGUUUUGCUAGGCACCCUCACCCAGUUUCAGCGAGAUUAAGACUUUGAGAUCUACAGAUGAAGCGGUACCACCUGUGUGUGUGUGUGCGUGCGUGCAGAUGAAUUCUUUCUGAAGUAGUGUGAUUGCUGUCUUUUUAACCAGGGCUUCCAUUUGCAAAGGCAUGUAACUUGAGGUCAACUUUACAAAUCAAUGACAUUUACAUCCUUCCGAGUACAUUAAUGUGAUAUUCCUCUGUGCCCCCAGUGGUCUCCAUUUCUGUAAUGCUACACGUUCAGGUGUUUGAUUUAUUUUUCAGGCCAUCUCUCUUCCAGGAGCUAAAACAGUAUUUUGCUUGAAUUCAGCAGCACCUCGAGUGCCCUGGUAGUGAAGAGCUAUAAUAGCAACGCCAAAACUGCAUUUGCUCUGAAUGCUGGUGGUCUGGCGGGUAGUUUUUAGUGAGAAUCUAGCAAGUGACCAAUCCCAGGAUGAGCGAUGGGAACGCGGUCUCUGAUAGGAUUCGAUGCCAGACCCCAGGGCUUAACAGCUCAGUUGGGAGGCUGAUGAGCAAGGACCCACUGCAUCACCAGCUGAUAAGUGCUGAGGGAUGGAGCCGUGGGAGCCCUGAGGAGGACAUGUGGCCUGGCCUGAGAGCAUGAGGAAGGUGUCCAGAGGAGGAAAGUGCUGGAAGCCUGCAGACAUGUGCAAGAGAGUCUGCUAGGAAGCUCCAGAUCUUCUGUCCUUGUAGAUGAGAUUUUUUUGACAUCUGUAGUUUUCCACAGUAUCACACAACCUUGCUCAUACAAUGACUUCCCAAUAAAUAUUCCCUUAUUCCCCUUUAAGGAUUUCUG
rnacentral:lncRNA from 1 species